UUUUUUUUUUUUUUUUUUUCUUGUGCAAAUGAGUUUAUUUAAUUUAGUGUGAUCUUGGCUUUUCUGUUAAAUGCCCAGAAUUCCAUGAGAGAAACACCAAGAACAUGCCGCUGCAUUGCCUUAAUAUUGUAACCCCUCAAGUCUUUCUAUAAUAGAUGUAUUUAUUUAUGUUUCCUUCCAGGUCUUCUUGGUGCAGUUUGGCCACGGCUUGUUUCUGUAUAUGACAAGAUGAUUUAUGCUUUUACGUUGGUGUUAUUGAUCUCUGAACAGAGCAAGGACAGAGCAGCAGAUGUGUUGAAGCCUUAAAAUGCAGUAAUAAUUGAUAUUUCUCAUCAAGACUUGAGAUUUCCACAUUUGAAACCCAUCAUACUUGUUUUCGGAAGACACAAGAAGUGUCACUUCCACUGUGUGUGGUGGUGUUAUAUUUUUUUUUUUUUCUUUUUUUUUUAAAUAUUAUGUUUUUAAUAUAUUUCUCUAGGCUAAACUAGGUAAAUCCACUUUUUGAGUUGAAUUUUAACUGAAGGUCACAAUUAAGACGUAACAUCAAUUCAGUUUUUUCUUGUAGUUAAAACUUCGUUGUUGGCUGGGUAUGAUGGCCAAUUUUAGACCGUGGUGGGACACCAGGACAAAACCAGACUAAUGACCCAGUGAAGUGGGUUAGAGGUUGGAAACUUUCAUUAGUUUCAAAAACUAUGAAAGUUGAGGCUGUAAAAUAAAUGCAUCUUCAGCUCCACAGGCAGUAGCUGUUUGUAAUUGGAAUAGAAUUACUGAUUUAACUGUUGCAUCAGUCAAACCAUCAUAUAUAUACACACACACACACACACAAUAGUGUAAGCAAAAUAGUUACAGUGCGAUACGUACCCUAUCAGAGCCCUAAACCCAAUGUUGACAUGGAUCCUGUUGUAUUAUGUACUUCUUACAUUGAUCCUGACCAGCCUCACAAAUUCCGUACCGGUCGGGCUCAACUGGGGUCCAAAUAGUUUUCAAAGUCGGUCAGCUGUCGGUUUUGUUCCUGCAGAGCUGAGGUCUGGGUAUCAGUAUGGAUAAUACCAGAGAGGAUCCAAGCAGACUCUCCAUGAUGGGAAAAUGUUAAUCUGGGUCAGGUCUAAGCAUCCUUGAGUCUGUACCAAUGGGGUCUCUAUUUAAAAUUUGUAAUGCACAUUAGGUUUGGGUAGUUUUAUUUUGGAUUCGGUCCAGAAUUGUGGACCCUUGAAGACCUUGGCUACGUAGGCUAAAACACAAGGACUCAGGUCCAUAAGAACAUGGCACAGUACGUUGUUGUGUACCUGAGGAGGAGACAGCUUUCAUCUGUUGGAGCGUUCUUUGAUCCACUACUAAAGACUGUACAUCAAACAUGGUGUUAAUUCAUAGUUUAAAGCCUGUGUAGAGUUUGGGGGUUUAUGCGUGUUCAUUUUCUGUCAGAUUUGACCAAGAAGGAUGUGGGUAUUGUUUUUGUGGCUGUAAUCUAUUGUGGCGCCAAGAAGGAAGUGCAGAAAAGGGUGAGUCAAGAUGGUAAACACAGCAGCAAAUCUGUUUUUCCUUUCUUUUCCUUCAAGAAGAAAAUGUAGAAAAAUGCCCCCUAGGAAGGAGCACAUCAGUAGUCGACCCCAUUGUCUCCAUCAUGGAGGUGACGCAGUGAUUUAAAGACGAGCAGGCUGUAGCAACACGCUGUGCUGAUCUUUCACUGGCACUCCUGUAGAACGAAGUGAAGACGCAAGACCAGAACUCCAGAGUGCACCACCUUCCUCCAGUAAAGACCUCAUGGUUUUUGUUCCUUAAGGCCUGUGUUUUUUAUCUGUUUAAACUGUAAAUGAAUUAGUUUCUCACAAAACAAUCAUUUUGUUGUUGCAUGUUAAGAAUCCAACAUUUUCUGUUUGCCAAACAAAUGAUGUUGAAGGGUUUUAAGUUAGGUUCCCCUUACACACACGUGUAAACUGUUUUUAGAAGACAGAUGUAAAUAGCACACUAGGUUUAGUUGGGUUGCUUUUAUAUCUACAAUAACCGGGAUUAAUGAAAACAACUACUUAUGGUUUUGACUCUACAGAGCGACUGUCUGACAUCUUUGUGUUUUAAUACUGUAGAUUGUUCAAGUGUAAAUGGUUUAUUAAUAUGUGGCUUAUAUAAUCUGGCUUAUUAUUGCAUUUAAAUGACAAUGAGUUGGAUCCCGUUGAAGGAAGGAGGGUGUGACUUUGGUUUUGGGGGAUAUUUAUGAUUUUGUGUACAUGUGGAAAUAUCAAGACUUUUGUGCUGUUUAAUAAAUCCUCUCCUGAUUACUGA